rnacentral:rRNA from 1 species
CCAAACUGUUGCCUCGGCGGGGUCACGCCCCGGGUGCGUCGCAGCCCCGGAACCAGGCGCCCGCCGGAGGGACCAACCAAACUCUUUCUGUAGUCCCCUCGCGGACGUUAUUUCUUACAGCUCUGAGCAAAAAUUCAAAAUGAAUCAAAACUUUCAACAACGGAUCUCUUGGUUCUGGCAUCGAUGAAGAACGCAGCGAAAUGCGAUAAGUAAUGUGAAUUGCAGAAUUCAGUGAAUCAUCGAAUCUUUGAACGCACAUUGCGCCCGCCAGUAUUCUGGCGGGCAUGCCUGUCCGAGCGUCAUUUCAACCCUCGAACCCCUCCGGGGGGUCGGCGUUGGGGAUCGGGAACCCCUAAGACGGGAUCCCGGCCCCGAAAUACAGUGGCGGUCUCGCCGCAGCCUCUCAUGCGCAGUAGUUUGCACAACUCGCACCGGGAGCGCGGCGCGUCCACGUCCGUAAAACACCCAACUUCUGAAAUGUUGACCUCGGAUCAGGUAGGAAUACCCGCUGAACUUAAGCAUAUCAAUAAGCGGAGGAA